UACGGGGGGGGCAAGCGUUGUUCGGAAUUACUGGGCGUAAAGGGUGCGUAGGCGGUCCUAUAAGUCAGUGCUGAAAUAUCCCGGCUUAACCGGGAGGGUGGCAUUGAUACUGCAGGACUUGAGUAAAGUUGAGGUUGGCGGAAUUGACGGUGUAGCGGUGAAAUGCUUAGAUAUCGUCAAGAACACCUAUUGCGAAGGCAGCUAACUAAGCUUUAACUGACGCUGAGGCACGAAAGUGUGGGGAUCAAACAGG
rnacentral:rRNA from 1 species